UACGGAGGGAGCUAGCGUUGUUCGGAAUUACUGGGCGUAAAGCGCACGUAGGCGGCUUUGUAAGUUAGAGGUGAAAGCCCGGGGCUCAACUCCGGAACUGCCUUUAAGACUGCAUCGCUUGAAUCCAGGAGAGGUGAGUGGAAUUCCGAGUGUAGAGGUGAAAUUCGUAGAUAUUCGGAAGAACACCAGUGGCGAAGGCGGCGCGCUGGGCUGGAACUGACGCUGAGGAGCGAAAGCGUGGGUAGCAAACAGG
rnacentral:rRNA from 1 species